rnacentral:rRNA from 1 species
UACGUAGGGUGCGAGCGUUGUCCGGAUUUAUUGGGCGUAAAGAGCUCGUAGGCGGCUUGUUGCGUCGACCGUGAAAACCCGGGGCUCAACUUCGGGCUUGCGGUCGAUACGGGCGGGCUAGAGUUCGGUAGGGGAGACUGGAAUUCCUGGUGUAGCGGUGAAAUGCGCAGAUAUCAGGAGGAACACCGGUGGCGAAGGCGGGUCUCUGGGUAGUAACUGACGCUGAGGAGCGAAAGCGUGGGUAGCGAACAGG